rnacentral:rRNA from 1 species
AAACUCAAAGGAAUAGACGGGACCCGCACAAGUGGUGGAGCAUGUGGUUUAAUUCGAAGAUACGCGAAGGACCUUACCUGGCCUUGACAUUGAUAGAAUCUGCUAGAGAUAGCGGAGUGCCCUUCGGGGAGCUUGAAAACAGGUGCUGCACGGCUGUCGUCAGCUCGUGUCGUGAGAUGUUGGGUUAAGUCCCGCAACGAGCGCAACCCUCGUCACUAGUUACUAACGGUUCGGCCGAGGACUCUAGUGAGACUGCCUUCGUAAGGAGGAGGAAGGUGAGGACGACGUCAAGUCAUCAUGGCCCUUACGGCCAGGGCGACACACGUGCUACAAUGGGAUGUACAAUGAGACGCAAUACCGCGAGGUGGAGCAAAUCUAUAAAGCAUCUCUCAGUUCGGAUUGUAGUCUGCAACUCGACUACAUGAAGCUGGAAUCACUAGUAAUCGUAGAUCAGCCAUGCUACGGUGAAUACGUUCCCGGGUCUUGUACUCACCGCCCGUCACACCAUGGGAGUUGAUUUCACCCGAAGCGGGGAAGCUAAACUGGCUACCCUCCACGGUGGAUCAGCGACUGGGGUAAAG